GACGAACGCUGGCGGCGUGCCUAAUACAUGCAAGUAGAACGCUGAAGAGAGGAGCUUGCUCUUCUUGGAAGAGUUGCGAACGGGUGAGUAACGCGUAGGUAACCUGCCUUGUAGCGGGGGAUAACUAUUGGAAACGAUAGCUAAUACCGCAUAACAAUGGGUGACCCAUGUCAUUCAUUUGAAAGGGGCAACUGCUCCACUACAAGAUGGACCUGCGUUGUAUUAGCUAGUAGGUGAGGUAACGGCUCACCUAGGCGACGAUACAUAGCCGACCUGAGAGGGUGAUCGGCCACACUGGGACUGAGACACGGCCCAGACUCUUACGGGAGGCAGCAGUAGGGAAUCUUCGGCAAUGGGGGCAACCCUGACCGAGCAACGCCGCGUGAGUGAAGAAGGUUUUCGGAUCGUAAAGCUCUGUUGUAAGUCAAGAACGAGUGUGAGAGUGGAAAGUUCACACUGUGACGGUAGCUUACCAGAAAGGGACGGCUAACUACGUGCCAGCAGCCGCGGUAAUACGUAGGUCCCGAGCGUUGUCCGGAUUUAUUGGGCGUAAAGCGAGCGCAGGCGGUUUGAUAAGUCUGAAGUUAAAGGCUGUGGCUCAACCAUAGUUCGCUUUGGAAACUGUCAAACUUGAGUGCAGAAGGGGAGAGUGGAAUUCCAUGUGUAGCGGUGAAAUGCGUAGAUAUAUGGAGGAACACCGGUGGCGAAAGCGGCUCUCUGGUCUGUAACUGACGCUGAGGCUCGAAAGCGUGGGGAGCGAACAGG
rnacentral:rRNA from 1 species